rnacentral:rRNA from 1 species
AGAGUUUGAUCCUGGCUCAGAUUGAACGCUGGCGGCAGGCUUAACACAUGCAAGUCGAGCGGAGAUGAGGUGCUUGCACCUUAUCUUAGCGGCGGACGGGUGAGUAAUGCUUAGGAAUCUGCCUAUUAGUGGGGGACAACAUUCCGAAAGGAAUGCUAAUACCGCAUACGUCCUACGGGAGAAAGCAGGGGAUCUUCGGACCUUGCGCUAAUAGAUGAGCCUAAGUCGGAUUAGCUAGUUGGUGGGGUAAAGGCCUACCAAGGCGACGAUCUGUAGCGGGUCUGAGAGGAUGAUCCGCCACACUGGGACUGAGACACGGCCCAGACUCCUACGGGAGGCAGCAGUGGGGAAUAUUGGACAAUGGGGGGAACCCUGAUCCAGCCAUGCCGCGUGUGUGAAGAAGGCCUUAUGGUUGUAAAGCACUUUAAGCGAGGAGGAGGCUACUGAGACUAAUACUCUUGGAUAGUGGACGUUACUCGCAGAAUAAGCACCGGCUAACUCUGUGCCAGCAGCCGCGGUAAUACAGAGGGUGCGAGCGUUAAUCGGAUUUACUGGGCGUAAAGCGUGCGUAGGCGGCUUUUUAAGUCGGAUGUGAAAUCCCCGAGCUUAACUUGGGAAUUGCAUUCGAUACUGGGAAGCUAGAGUAUGGGAGAGGAUGGUAGAAUUCCAGGUGUAGCGGUGAAAUGCGUAGAGA